AGUGAACGCUGGCGGUAGGCCUAACACAUGCCAGUCGAACGGCAGCACAGUAAGAGCUUGCUCUUACGGGUGGCGAGUGGCGGACGGGUGAGGAAUACAUCGGAAUCUACUUUUUCGUGGGGGAUACGUAGGGAAACUUACGCUAAUACCGCAUACGACCUACGGGUGAAAGCAGGGGAUCUUCGGACCUUGCGCGAUUGAAUGAGCCGAUGUCGGAUUAGCUAGUUGGCGGGGUAAAGGCCCACCAAGGCGACGAUCCGUAGCUGGUCUGAGAGGAUGAUCAGCCACACUGGAACUGAGACACGGUCCAGACUCCUACGGGAGGCAGCAGUGGGGAAUAUUGGACAAUGGGCGCAAGCCUGAUCCAGCCAUACCGCGUGGGUGAAGAAGGCCUUCGGGUUGUAAAGCCCUUUUGUUGGGAAAGAAAAGCAGCAGGUUAAUACCCCGCUGUUCUGACGGUACCCAAAGAAUAAGCACCGGCUAACUUCGUG
rnacentral:rRNA from 1 species